AAUCUUGCCUUCAAUCCUCAACAGUAUUUUGAAGCC
rnacentral:SRP_RNA from 1 species